GUGCUGUAUGAAAGGAGAGAAGGUUAGCACUCCCCUUGAUAAGGAUGGAAGAGGCUCUUGGGGCUAAAAACACAUGCAUGGUUAAGGCAUUGCCACCUACUUUGUGGCCUUUAACCACCAUUUUUC